GCCAUUUCCUGAGAAGGAUAUUCCAUCCAUUUCCUCAGACGGUCACUGUCAUUCAUUUCUUCAGCAAGGAAGCACCCACCAGCUUUGCAGGCACCUGAGGCCAUCUCCUCAGCAGGGCACUGUCGGCCGUUUCCUCAGGGACGAAGCACUCAGACCUCAGCAGGCAUUGACAGCUAUUUACUCAGUUGGCACUGGCACCUGUCUCCUCUGCAUAGCAUGGGCUGCUAUCUCCUCAGCAAAACGCAGGCACUAAUCUCCUCAGGUGGAACCUACUCCUCCUCUCUGUGGUGCCAGGAACUUCCCAAGAGCCCCUCUGUGGAUGGGCAGGGGUGCUUACCUGGUGCCCUGCUGGUGAUGGGGUACACAGAUGCCCAGCUGCAAGUGAACUGUGUGCCUGUGGCCUGCAGCGAGGGAUGCAGCAUCUUGGGAGAAAGGGUGGCAGGAUCAGGCACAUGGCAGGCAGUGCAACUGGCACAGCAAAAAGUGGGGAAUCGUGAUGUUUCCUCACGUCUCUGCUGCCCACAGAGGCUGCAGGAUGGCAGCAGGACCACACGCAGGGGCAAUCACAGUGGCCAUUCCCACAUGAGGGGAGCAGAUCCCUGGUUUGGAAGGCCCCAAGGAGCAGAUGAGGCAGUAGGAAGUAAAGAUGAGCAGAGACCAGAGCACUCAGAACCAUUGUGUGAGGUAUGCCUGUGAGGGUUGAUCUUGUGGGCUUGGCCUCGGCCUCAGUGACACUGCUAUGGCGUUGAAAGGGAGUGAAUGCACUGACUGAUUUGAACCCGCUCCCAUCCCUGCUCUCUGCAUGACAAUGAUGACACACGACAGGGGUAAUCCUAGGAUCCAUGAUGAGUGUGCUGUGAGAGACUUCCACACAACAGCACUUCACACAAAGAGGGAAUGCCUGCUGAAAGCCUGCAGCAGAGUGGGAGGCCUGGUACUUGUCCUCCACACCCUCAUGCUGUGGGCAGACAGGUGAAACGGGUCAGGUGCUGCUGCUUCCUUGAGUCUUUGGUGGCUGGGAUGCAUCACUCUGAGGAAUCAUCAGAGGAAUGGAAAAGGAUAAAUCUGAAGGUGAUCAGAGGUCUGCAAGCCAUGAAGAAGAGAUUACUGGCAGUAGGUUGCUGGCUAGAACAGAAGAAGCCAAAGAGCACAAGCCAUUUCUAUUUCUCCACUUCUCCCUGUCUCAGGUCUCUAGCCCAGAGGAAUGGU